GGGGUAUUCAAAUCUAUAUUGUAAACAUGGUUCAUUUUGCUAAAAUAUUAACUUUGCUUUCUGAUGGGAAGAGGUAAUUUAUGGGGAUACCAAUUUUUUUGUCUACACUAAAACGUAAUCUAUUUCUUUAGUAAUACCUAGAGUUGUUUUAUUGACACUUAAUUGAGUAGUUGGUUUUUUUUUGUUUUUUUUUUUGUUUUUUUUUUUUUUUUUUCACCACUUCUACUGAAACUAUUCUCUGGGAGGUCCUCAAUGACCUUUCACAUGGCAAGUAAUUUUUGGCAAGUGAUCAUUGCAUCCAAAAGUUUGUUCAGCCCCAGUCCAGGAUCAUUCUUUUGUAACAUCUUAAACUUUUUUCUUUUUUAUCCUUAUUUAAAAAAAAAAAACAUGAAAUAAAUGCAAACAAACAAACAAACAAAAACGCACAGAAAUCCUAAGUUAUGCAGCUUGGUAACCUAUAAGAAAGUGAACACAUCUUUUUAACCACUAUCAAGAAAUAGAACAAUAUCACUUAUUUUUAAGGAGUUACUACUCUGGUCAGGCUCUCUACUAAGUCCUGUGUGUAGACUUUAGAACUAACUUAGGCUGGGGUGAUAAUACUAAGGAGUCAUCAAUGGCUGAAAUCCAACUUCAUUACCAAGAUAUUCAAGACUCUUCACUAUCAGGGUCAAUUUUUCCCCCUUUCUGAAUCAGCCUCAUGUCACAGAGCCCUCAUUCUCAUUCAUUGACAAAUUACUUGCUAUUUAGUUGGAGCACACCCUAAUUUUCUCCGGUGCCUUUGCUUAUGCUGUUCCUUCUUCUGGGAAUGCAGCUCCUCCUCCUGGCCUGUCCUUUGUCCUGCCUUCCCCUAGCACAUGCAGCGCUCAAAGCUUUCUUGGAGACUCAGCUUGAACAACAUCUUUUCAGUGAUGUGAACCUGCUCUUCCUGAUUGAAGGUACCAGCGUGCUCCUGAGCGGCUGUGAGCGACGUCGGCUCCCGACGAGGAGGGGCUGUGACUCAGCGCUGCAACUGCCAGAGCUGCGCCGAGAGCUAAGCCGAGCGGACGGGAGGUGCGUCUCCCCGCAAAACCCCGCGUCAAAAAACGCCUACCAAAUGCUUUCUCGUUUGGACCCAGACUCCAGUUCCGGAGGUGAGCGCGUUGUACUAAUUUGGUGGGGCAGGGGGAAGGAUAGUGACCUUGGGUGGGCUCUUAAGCACGUGGAAAGGAGAUUCCCCAAGAUAGGAUUGAUUAUGCGUUAGGGGUUUUCUGCCCCCCAAGAGGCACUUCUGUGCCUGGACCGUAUACCGGUGACUAGGUUGUCCUCGGAAUGAGGUCUUUGAGAUUUGGGAACCCAGGGGGGUAGAGAAGUGCGUGUUUCUGCAAUUUUCUUGAAUCGUUAAAAGAAUUGCAAUCACAAGGAUUGUUCUGUCAGAUGCCUUGGUUUGCGUACGUUUCAUAGCUCAUGUGGUUUGUUUGCCGAAGCAAGUUUUAUUUUUCAAGCUGCUCGUCUUGCUCGUUUAAAGCAGAGAGGGAGAAAAAACAGUUGUUAUAGUACGUUAUUUCUCUACCAGAAUAACUUACUCAUUUUUUUUUCCCCCUCAGCAGUCUGGUAGCCGGAUCCCCUAGGAGGAGAAGUAGUAAAGCGGUAAGAAGAAAGCAUUUCAGUUUGGAACACCUAACUUGCACCUGGAAAUGGGGAAUGGACUGUCAGACCAGACUUCUAUCUUGUCCAGCCUGCCUUCAUUUCAGUCCUUUCACAUUGUUAUUCUGGGUUUGGACUGUGCCGGAAAGACGACUGUAUUAUAUAGGCUGCAGUUCAAUGAAUUUGUAAAUACUGUACCUACCAAAGGAUUUAACACUGAAAAAAUUAAG
rnacentral:lncRNA from 12 species